rnacentral:rRNA from 1 species
UCUAAUACCGGAUAAUACUCCUGCCUGCAUGGGUGGGGGUUAAAAGCUCCGGCGGUGCAGGAUGAGCCCGCGGCCUAUCAGCUUGUUGGUGAGGUAGUGGCUCACCAAGGCGACGACGGG